UGUUGACUGGGUGUGAGGGUAAUAGCAAGUUUGUUGUCCAUGGAAGGGACAGCAAACUUGCUAUUACCCGCACACCCAGUCAUUA
rnacentral:sRNA from 1 species